GCACUUCGGGAUAAGCCUGGGAAACUGGGUCUAAUACCGAAUAGGACCAUUUAGCGCAUGCUUUAUGGUGGAAAGCUUUUGCGGUGUGGGAUGGGCCCGCGGCCUAUCAGCUUGUUGGUGGGGUGACGGCCUACCAAGGCGACGACGGGUAGCCGGCCUGAGAGGGUGUCCGGCCACACUGGGACGGAGAUACGGCCCAGACUCCUACGGGAGGCAGCAGUGGGGAAUAUUGCACAAUGGGCGCAAGCCUGAUGCAGCGACGCCGCGUGGGGGAUGACGGCCUUCGGGUUGUAAACCUCUUUCAGCAGGGACGAAGCGCAAGUGACGGUACCUGCAGAAGAAGCACCGGCCAACUACGUGCCAGCAGCCGCGGUAAUACGUAGGGUGCGAGCGUUGUCCGGAAUUACUGGGCGUAAAGAGCUCGUAGGUGGUUUGUCGCGUUGUUCGUGAAAUCUCACGGCUUAACUGUGAGCGUGCGGGCGAUACGGGCAGACUGGAGUACUGCAGGGGAGACUGGAAUUCCUGGUGUAGCGGUGGAAUGCGCAGAUAUCAGGAGGAACACCGGUGGCGAAGGCGGGUCUCUGGGCAGUAACUGACGCUGAGGAGCGAAAGCGUGGGGAGCGAACAGGAUUAGAUACCCUGGUAGUCCACGCCGUAAACGGUGGGUACUAGGUGUGGGUUUCCUU
rnacentral:rRNA from 1 species